rnacentral:tRNA from 1 species
GCCGCUGUGGCUUAGCUUGGUAAAGCGGCUGAUUCGUAAUCAGCAGAUCAUGGGUUCGAAUCCCAUCAGCGGCU